rnacentral:misc_RNA from 1 species
UUGUGAUAUUCCAGAUGUCAAUAGCAGCCCUGAUUCAGAUUGUGGAACAAAACCCACAAUCUCCAUGAUAAAUGCAGAGCAAAUCAGCACUGCUGAUUUAGGCAUCUAUGAGAUCGUAAUUUUAACCAAUAUUGUUCUCUCCAUUGACACUUAUGUACAAAUUCUCACAAGAAUGGCUCGGCACGCUACCCAUGGUGUUUUGCAUAGCUUUUUGACUGAAGAAGAUGCACUACUUGCUGGAUCAUUGGUUGAAAUUCUUGAACAGUGUGGGCAGGCUGUGCCCGAAGCUCUCAGAA